UACGGGGGGAGCAAGCGUUGUUCGGAUUUACUGGGCGUAAAGGGCGCGUAGGCGGCCAGCACAAGUCAGUUGUGAAAUCUCCGAGCUUAACUCGGAAAGGUCAACUGAUACUGUGCGGCUAGAGUGCAGAAGGGGCAACUGGAAUUCUUGGUGUAGCGGUGAAAUGCGUAGAUAUCGAGAGGAACACCUGCGGCGAAGGCGGGUUGCUGGGCUGACACUGACGCUGAUGUGCGAAAGCUAGGGGAGCGAACGGG
rnacentral:rRNA from 1 species